rnacentral:rRNA from 1 species
CUCAAUGAAAUUUCAAUAGCCGCAAUUCGUGCUAAGGUAGCAUAAUCAUUUGUCUUUUAAUUAAAGACUAGAACGAAAGAUUUAACAUUUCUAUUUCUUUCUAAAUUAUACAUCUUAAACUUAUUCCAAAUAUAAAAAAAUAUUUAUAAAAAAAAAAGACGACAAGACCCUAUUGAACUUAACUAUAGUUUAACUGGGGCAGUUAAUUAAAUAUUAUUUUAAUUUUAAAAAAAUUCUAGUAAAAUUAAAAUAUAAAGUUACCAUAGGGAUAACAGCGUAAUAAUUUUCAAAAGAUCUUAUUCAAAAAAUAAUUUACGACCUCGAUGUUGAAUUAAUUACCUAUUAAAUGCAAUAAUUAACAAGGAAGUC